GACGAACGCUGGCGGCGUGCUUAACACAUGCAAGUCGAACGGAAAGGCCUGCUUUCCCUUGUGGAUUGCGGGUACUCGAGUGGCUAACGGGUGAGUAACACGUGAGUGAUCUGCCCCCAACUUGGGUAUAAGCCUGGGAAACUGGGUCUAAUUCCCGAUAGGACUGCAGGGUGGUUCCUGUGGUGGAAAACGAUUUUCUAGUGGUUGGGGAUGAGCUCGCGGCCUAUCAGCUUGUUGGUGGGGUAAUGGCCUACCAAGGCGGCGACGGGUAGCCGGCCUGAGAGGGUGGACGGCCACAUUGGGACUGAGAUACGGCCCAGACUCCUACGGGAGGCAGCAGUGGGGAAUAUUGCACAAUGGGCGGAAGCCUGAUGCAGCGACGCCGCGUGGGGGAUGACGGCCUUCGGGUUGUAAACUCCUUUCGACCGCGAGGAAGCCACCUGGUUGGAAGGGUGGUGACGGUAGUGGUAGAAGAAGCACCGGCUAACUACGUG
rnacentral:rRNA from 1 species